rnacentral:rRNA from 1 species
AGUGAACGCUGGCGGUAGGCCUAACACAUGCAAGUCUAACUGCAGCACAGUAAGAGCUUGCUCUUACUGGUGGCGAGUGGCGGACGGGUUAGGAAUACAUCGGAAUCUACUUUUUCGUGGGGGAUAACGUAGGGAAACUUACGCUAAUACCGCAUACGACCUACGGGUGAAAGCAGGGGAUCUUCGUACCUUGCGCGAUUUAAUGAGCCGAUGCCGGAUUAGCUAGUUGGCGGGGUAAAGGCCCACCAAUGCGACGAUCCGUAGCUGGUCUGAGAGGAUGAUAAGAAACAACGGAACUGAGAAACGGGACAAAAUGCUAAGGGAAGCAGAAGUGGGGAAUAGUGGGCAAUGGGCGCAAGCCUGAUCCAGCCAAACCGCGUGGGUGAAGAAGGCCUUCGGGUUGAAAAGCCCUUUUGUUGGGAAAGAAAAGCAGCAGGUUAAUACCCCGCUGUUCUGACGGUACCCAAAGAAUAAGCACCGGCUAACUUCGUG